GCUUCUUCUGCACGUACCGUCACUUUCGCUUCUUCCGUGCUGAAAGAGGUUUACAACCCGAAGGCCGUCAUCCCUCACGCGGCGUCGCUGCAUCAGGCUUCCGCCCAUUGUGCAAUAUUCCCCACUGCUGCCUCCCGUAGGAGUCUGGGCCGUGUCUCAGUCCCAGUGUGGCCGGUCACCCUCUCAGGCCGGCUACCCGUCGUCGCCUUGGUGAGCCAUUACCCCACCAACAAGCUGAUAGGCCGUGAGCCCAUCCAAAACCAGUAAAACCCUUUCCACACACCACCAUGCGGUGACAUGUCGUAUCGCAGUAUUAGACCCAGUUUCCCAGGCUUAUCCCAGAGUCAAGGGCAGGUUACUCACGUAUUACUCACCCGUUCGCCACUCAUCCACCCAGUGCAAGCACCAAGCUUCAGCGUUCGACUUGCAUGUGUUAAGCACGCCGCCAGCGUUCGUCCUGAGCC
rnacentral:rRNA from 1 species